rnacentral:lncRNA from 13 species
GUAUGUCUGUGUGUGGGAUGUGUGUGGUGUGUCGGGUACGUGUGUAUGGCAUGUUUGGGGUGUGUGUGUGAUGUGUCUGUGUAUGGUGUAUGUGGUUUGCGUGGUAUGUCUGUGUGUGGUGUGUUGGGUAUGUGUGGUAUGUCUAUGUGUGGUGUGUGUGGGGUAUGUGUGUGUGGUGUGUGGUAUGUCUGUGUGUGAUAUGUGUGGUGUGUGUGGUGUGUGUGUUGGGUGUGUGGUGUGUGGGGUGUGGGGGUAUGUCUGUGGUGUGUGUGUGGUGUGCAUCUUUGUGUUUCUCUGUAUGGCAUGUCUGUGUGUAUAGGGUGUGUGUGUGGGUUUCUGUGGUGUGUUGGUGUGUAAGGUGUGUAUUGAUGUACGGCACAUGUGUAUUGAUGUACGGCAUGUCUAUGUAUGGUGUGUUUGCAUGUGUAUUGAGGGGGAAAAUGAUGAGUUUGCGUGUGUGUGUGUGUGUGUGUUAGAGACAGGGUGCCAAAGCCUUGAAUUCCCAACCUCAUGUGGUCCUUCCACCUUGGCCUCCCAAAGCACUGGGAUUACAGGCAUGAGCCACUGCACCUGGCCUCCAUGUGAUUUUCGGGGACUCCCAUCCAGUGCUCUUCCCUGGCUCUUGGAAGGGCCAGUGGCUGACCCUGUAGAGGCAUCCGACAAACCCACAUGUGUCCUCUUCAGCAUCCAGCUUCUUUGCAUCAAAAUCAGAGGGACACAGACACACACAGGGAGGAGAAGCCAUCUACAGCCAAAGAGAGGCCUCAGAAGAAAACACCUUGAUUCCAGACUUCCGGCCUUGAGAAGGCUGGGAGUUUGAAGCACCACCACAGCGUUCAGCUUCUUUCCAGGACAGACUCCAAGGAGAAUAAAUCAAAUGGGGGAUGGUUUUAUUUUUGGCUC